rnacentral:lncRNA from 1 species
AAGGUGGAUUCAGAGUUUCAGACCAUCAGUUCAUCAUCGUCUAGUGUACAAUUCAUAUCUUAUAGUAAUUUGUUCAAACGCCGUUUGAUGCUGAACACAUUUCCGUGGACAGGUCAUAUUCUUUAGGAAUGGAUUUUGUGCGAGGGAAACUGGGAAGAAAUUUAAAUUAUACUGCAACUCCUUCCUAUGAAAUGGAUCAACGGACCACAGUUACCAACAACAACAAAGGGAUCAGUUUGCAAAUGUUGUCUAGCUAAGCAGUUUUUCAAGAUCCAUUGAUGCACUAUUUGUUACUUUCCGGAGAUCACGAGUCGGCCGCAGGUGUCAAUCUACAACGCAGUUUCUUCAUUGAAAUUGUGUGGCCCUUGCACGGAGAUCCUUGAGCCAAUGCUAGCCUUUGUCCAUGACAGAAGAGUGACUUUCACCAACGUUCUGCCACAUCCUCAUCUUCGUGACGUACGCUCAUCCAGCUUCGCUGCUACUCGUGCUGCUACUCUUGCCACUACUCGUGCCACUACUCGUGCCACUACUCGUGCUACUACUCGUGCUACUACUCGUGCUACACAACCCAUCUCGUCUUCAAUGACGAGUUAAACCACUUCAAUGGUCGCUUCCGUCCACCGUGACCCACCUGAAGUCACUCACCACGGGAUUAUGCCCAGGAGAAAACGUGUUGAAAGAGUCGUGCAGCUCACUGCUGUCGUUCAACCAUUUAUUUGUUCAAAAUCAUUGUAUUCUACUGAAUGUGCCAUCAAAAUGAAACAGGAUUCAUCAUAAUGGUCUGCUGUUUGUAUUGGACUUGCUAGAUCGCCAAUCCCAGCCAUGCCCCGAUUUUGAGUGUUCUUCAUAUCAGGUUUCUAACACAUUGGUAUGACAGAUUUGAUGAGAAGUCAUAUUUUUAAGAAAAUGGACAAGGGCCAUACAGUCAACAAGGUUCCUUGUUUGCUAACCCGUUGGCUGCUACCCUUCAAUCUCCCUGUUUACUUCCUUACACAGGUCCUAUUGAUUUGAGGGUAACUCUUUCACUACUGAUGACAUCAACUGUUGUAAACUGACGAGAGAAUGCUGCAAUUCAAGACUGAUACGUUGUGUAGUUGUUAGAUAAAUGACAAGUGCAUAUCUGGGCUCCCUUCUUUUCUGUGGCCCCGUUUCCCUAACUAACCAC